GACGAACGCUGGCGGCGUGCUUAACACAUGCAAGUCGAACGGAAAGGCCCUGCUUUUGUGGGGUGCUCGAGUGGCGAACGGGUGAGUAACACGUGAGUAACCUGCCCUUGACUUUGGGAUAACUUCAGGAAACUGGGGCUAAUACCGGAUAGGAGCUCCUGCUGCAUGGUGGGGGUUGGAAAGUUUCGGCGGUUGGGGAUGGACUCGCGGCUGAUCAGCUUGUUGGUGGGGUAGUGGCUUACCAAGGCGUUGACGGGUAGCCGGCCGGAGAGGGUGACCGGCCACAUUGGGACUGAGAUACGGCGCAGACUCCUACGGGAGGCAGCAGUGGGGAAUAUUGCACAAUGGGCGGAAGCCUGAUGCAGCAACGCCGCGUGCGGGAUGUCGGCCUUCGGGUUGUAAACCGCUUUCGCCUGUGACGAAGCGUGAGUGACGGUAAUGGGUAAAGAAGCACCGGCUAACUACGUG
rnacentral:rRNA from 1 species